GAGUCUCUACUGCAGGCUCUGGGGCUGGAGCUGCCACCUCACCUGGGGCCUCCACUGGUCCUGGGGCCUCCACAGGCUCAUUGGCAACGGCUGCUACAGGGGCCUCCACAGCCACAGGGGUGGUUAUUGGCUCUGCUGCAGGCUCAGCAGCAACAACAAGGUCAGUUAUGGGGUCACUGGGUGCAGGGGCCUCCACAGCGGGGGCCCCCUCUGGGACAGCGGCCACAGGCUCAGCAGCAGGGGUUACUGGUUCAGGGACAGCGGCCACAGGGGCUGGAGCAUCUUUGGUCUCCUCUUUUGGGGCUGGAGCUGGGGUCUCCGCUGCUGGAGUCUCCUCUGUCGGGGCUGGAGCUGACUCUGGGACAGUUUCAGUCACCUCGACUGGGGCAGCAGCUUCCACAGGUGCAGCUGCCCGACCGGGUAGCCACCUCCACUGCAGCUCCAGUUUCAACAAGGAGCCUCCUCAGACACCACUGUCUCAGCAGGAGCCUCUGCACAGGAGCGGCCUCAACCACGACAGCCUCAACAGGGUCCACCACCUCCACUGGGACCACAGCCUCUACUAAGACCAAUCCUCUGAAGGGACGGCUGCAGCCUCAGCAGGGGCUCAGGGGAACGUCUGGCUCGGCUGCAGCCAGCAUCUCCAGGACCUGGUCCUCCUCCCAUCCAGACCCCAUGGUCUCCAGGGCCUCUGGAGGCCAUGAUGACGGGUUUCCUCAGAGUCAUCAGUCAGGGCACUCUGGACAGGAAGCUGCAUCUGGUCAGCGAUGGUCUCCGUGUCUCCGAGAUGUGACCAUUCCCGACAACUGGAAUAAAAACACAGAAAACAUGGAGGUUCAUGAGAGAAAUGUAUUCUAGGUUUAACCUGACAUCUGACACCAGAUCCACCUGUAACGUUCCUGAUAGAAGAUCACUGGACAGAAAAAAAUGGAGGUUCAUGAGAGAAAUGUAUUUCUAGGUUUAACCUGACAUCUGCACCAGAUCCACCUGUAACGUUCCUGAUAGAAGAUCACUGCAAACCGUUUCCGCGCUUUAUUGAAUACCAAACAUAUUGUUAAGUUGAACUAAUGAAGGAUCUGAUAGGCUGGAAGUUAUGACCUUGGUGUGUCUGUGUUGUCAUGAACCAAUCCAGUAACACCUAAAAACAUUCCAUGUCUGUAGAGCCUGUAUGAUAAGUCCAUUGUGAGAAGGCCUUUCUAGGGAGUUUUCCUA
rnacentral:lncRNA from 1 species